rnacentral:rRNA from 1 species
UAAGCGCCGGUAAGGUGAUAUGAACCGUUAUAACCGGCGAUACCCGAAUGGGGAAACCCAGUGUGACUCGUCACACUAUCAUUAACUGAAUCCAUAGGUUAAUGAGGCGAACCGGGGGAACUGAAACAUCUAAGUACCCCGAGGAAAAGAAAUCAACCGAGAUUCCCCCAGUAGCGGCGAGCGAACGGGGAGGAGCCCAGAGCCUGAAUCAGCAUGUGUGUUAGUGGAAGCGUCUGGAAAGGCGCGCGAUACAGGGUGACAGCCCCGUACACAAAAGCGCAUGUGCUGUGAGCUCGAUGAGUAGGGCGGGACACGUGGUAUCCUGUCUGAAUAUGGGGGGACCAUCCUCCAAGGCUAAAUACUCCUGACUGACCGAUAGUGAACCAGUACCGUGAGGGAAAGGCGAAAAGAACCCCGGCGAGGGGAGUGAAAAAGAACCUGAAACCGUGUACGUACAAGCAGUGGGAGCACAGGUUUACCUGUGUGACUGCGUACCUUUUGUAUAAUGGGUCAGCGACUUAUAUUCUGUAGCAAGGUUAACCGUAUAGGGGAGCCGUAGGGAAACCGAGUCUUAACCGGGCGUUAAGUUGCAGGGUAUAGACCCGAAACCCGGUGAUCUAGCCAUGGGCAGGUUGAAGGUUGGGUAACACUAACUGGAGGACCGAACCGACUAAUGUUGAAAAAUUAGCGGAUGACCUGUGGCUGGGGGUGAAAGGCCAAUCAAACCGGGAGAUAGCUGGUUCUCCCCGAAAGCUAUUUAGGUAGCGCCUCGUGAAUUCAUCUCCGGGGGUAGAGCACUGUUUCGGCUAGGGGGCCAUCCCGGCUUACCAACCCGAUGCAAACUGCGAAUACCGGAGAAUGUUAUCACGGGAGACACACGGCGGGUGCUAACGUCCGUCGUGAAGAGGGAAACAACCCAGACCGCCAGCUAAGGUCCCAAAGUCAUGGUUAAGUGGGAAACGAUGUGGGAAGGCCCAGACAGCCAGGAUGUUGGCUUAGAAGCAGCCAUCAUUUAAAGAAAGCGUAAUAGCUCACUGGUCGAGUCGGCCUGCGCGGAAGAUGUAACGGGGCUAAACCAUGCACCGAAGCUGCGGCAGCGACGCUGAUGCGUUGUUGGGUAGGGGAGCGUUCUGUAAGCCUGUGAAGGUGGCCUGUGAGGGUUGCUGGAGGUAUCAGAAGUGCGAAUGCUGACAUAAGUAACGAUAAAGCGGGUGAAAAGCCCGCUCGCCGGAAGACCAAGGGUUCCUGUCCAACGUUAAUCGGGGCAGGGUGAGUCGACCCCUAAGGCGAGGCCGAAAGGCGUAGUCGAUGGGAAACGGGUUAAUAUUCCCGUACUUGGUGUUACUGCGAAGGGGGGACGGAGAAGGCUAUGUUGGCCGGGCGACGGUUGUCCCGGUUUAAGCGUGUAGGUGUGUGUUCCAGGUAAAUCCGGUUCACUUUAACACUGAGGCGUGAUGACGAGGCACUACGGUGCUGAAGCAACAAAUGCCCUGCUUCCAGGAAAAGCCUCUAAGCAUCAGGUAACAUCAAAUCGUACCCCAAACCGACACAGGUGGUCAGGUAGAGAAUACCAAGGCGCUUGAGAGAACUCGGGUGAAGGAACUAGGCAAAAUGGUGCCGUAACUUCGGGAGAAGGCACGCUGACACGUAGGUGAAGUGAUUUACUCAUGGAGCUGAAGUCAGUCGAAGAUACCAGCUGGCUGCAACUGUUUAUUAAAAACACAGCACUGUGCAAACACGAAAGUGGACGUAUACGGUGUGACGCCUGCCCGGUGCCGGAAGGUUAAUUGAUGGGGUCAGCGCAAGCGAAGCUCCUGAUCGAAGCCCCGGUAAACGGCGGCCGUAACUAUAACGGUCCUAAGGUAGCGAAAUUCCUUGUCGGGUAAGUUCCGACCUGCACGAAUGGCGUAAUGAUGGCCAGGCUGUCUCCACCCGAGACUCAGUGAAAUUGAACUCGCUGUGAAGAUGCAGUGUACCCGCGGCAAGACGGAAAGACCCCGUGAACCUUUACUAUAGCUUGACACUGAACAUUGAGCCUUGAUGUGUAGGAUAGGUGGGAGGCUUUGAAGCGUGGACGCCAGUCUGCAUGGAGCCGGCCUUGAAAUACCACCCUUUAAUGUUUGAUGUUCUAACGUGGACCCGUGAUCCGGGUUGCGGACAGUGUCUGGUGGGUAGUUUGACUGGGGCGGUCUCCUCCUAAAGAGUAACGGAGGAGCACGAAGGUUGGCUAAUCCUGGUCGGACAUCAGGAGGUUAGUGCAAUGGCAUAAGCCAGCUUGACUGCGAGCGUGACGGCGCGAGCAGGUGCGAAAGCAGGUCAUAGUGAUCCGGUGGUUCUGAAUGGAAGGGCCAUCGCUCAACGGAUAAAAGGUACUCCGGGGAUAACAGGCUGAUACCGCCCAAGAGUUCAUAUCGACGGCGGUGUUUGGCACCUCGAUGUCGGCUCAUCACAUCCUGGGGCUGAAGUAGGUCCCAAGGGUAUGGCUGUUCGCCAUUUAAAGUGGUACGCGAGCUGGGUUUAGAACGUCGUGAGACAGUUCGGUCCCUAUCUGCCGUGGGCGCUGGAGAACUGAGGGGGGCUGCUCCUAGUACGAGAGGACCGGAGUGGACGCAUCACUGGUGUUCGGGUUGUCAUGCCAAUGGCACUGCCCGGUAGCUAAAUGCGGAAGAGAUAAGUGCUGAAAGCAUCUAAGCACGAAACUUGCCCCGAGAUGAGUUCUCCCUGAGACUUAGAGUCUCCUGAAGGAACGUUGAAGACGACGACGUUGAUAGGCCGGGUGUGUAAGCGCAGCGAUGCGUUGAGCUAACCGGUACUAAUGAACCGUGAGGCUUAACCUUACAACGCCGAAG